rnacentral:rRNA from 1 species
UACGUAGGGGGCAAGCGUUGUCCGGAAUCAUUGGGCGUAAAGCGCGUGUAGGCGGCCCGGUAAGUCCGCUGUGAAAGUCGGGGGCUCAACCCUCGAAUGCCGGUGGAUACUGUCGGACUAGAGUGCGGAAGAGGAGAGUGGAAUUCCUGGUGUAGCGGUGAAAUGCGCAGAUAUCAGGAGGAACACCAAUUGCGAAGGCAGCGCGCUGGGACGUGACUGACGCUGAGACGCGAAAGCGUGGGGAGCAAACAGG